rnacentral:rRNA from 1 species
GGAAUAUUGGUCAAUGGACGCAAGUCUGAACCAGCCAUGCCGCGUGGAGGAUGAAGGCCUUAGGGUUGUAAAGCUCUUUUACCAGGGAUGAUAAUGACAGUACCUGGAGAAUAAGCUCCGGCUAACUCCGUGCCAGCAGCCGCGGUAAUACGGAGGGAGCUAGCGUUGUUCGGAAUUACUGGGCGUAAAGCGCACGUAGGCGGCUACUCAAGUCAGGGGUGAAAUCCCGGAGCUUAACUCCGGAACUGCCUCUGAAACUAGGUAGCUAGAAUCUUGGAGAGGUCAGUGGAAUUCCGAGUGUAGAGGUGAAAUUCGUAGAUAUUCGGAAGAACACCAGUGGCGAAGGCGACUGACUGGACAAGUAUUGACGCUGAGGUGCGAAAGCGUGGGGAGCAAA